GGCCAAGUCUCUUGGAAAAGGGCAGCUUAGAGGGUGAAACUCCCGUGUGCCUGGCAGGAUGAGAUGCUAAUCAACGAGUCGAGUUGUUUGGGAUUGCAGCUCAAAGUGGGUGGUAAAUUCCAUCUAAAGCUAAAUAUUGGUGGGAAACCGAUAGCGUACAAGUACCGUGAGGGAAGAUGCAAAGAACUUUGAAAAGAGAGUUAAAGAGUACCUGAAAUCGACUGAAAGGGAAGCGAAGAAAACCAGUGCAGGUUGAGUUAUACUUCCUGACCGCUUGCGUUUACGGGG
rnacentral:rRNA from 1 species